rnacentral:rRNA from 1 species
GACGAACGCUGGCGGCGUGCUUAACACAUGCAAGUCGAACGGAAAGGCCCUGCUUUUGUGGGGUGCUCGAGUGGCGAACGGGUGAGUAACACGUGAGUAACCUGCCCUUGACUUUGGGAUAACUUCAGGAAACUGGGGCUAAUACCGGAUAGGAGCUCCUGCUGCAUGGUGGGGGUUGGAAAGUUUCGGCGGUUGGGGAUGGACUCGCGGCUUAUCAGCUUGUUGGUGGGGUAGUGGCUUACCAAGGCUUUGACGGGUAGCCGGCCUGAGAAGGUGACCGGCCACAUGGGGACUGAGAUACGGCGCAGACUCCUACGGGAGGCAGAAGUGGGGAAUAUUGCACAAUGGGCGGAAGCCUGAGGCAGCAACGCCGCGUGCGGGAUGACGGCCUUCGGGUUGUAAACCGCUUUCGCCUGUGACGAAGCGUGAGUGACGGUAAUGGGUAAAGAAGCACCGGCUAACUACGUG